AGUGAACGCUGGCGGUAGGCCUAACACAUGCAAGUCGAACGGCAGCACAGUAAGAGCUUGCUCUUACGGGUGGCGAGUGGCGGACGGGUGAGGAAUACAUCGGAAUCUACUUUUUCGUGGGGGAUAACGUAGGGAAACUUACGAUAAUACCGCAUACGACCUACGGGUGCAAGCAGGGGAUCUUCGGACCUUGCGCGAUUGAAUGAGCCGAUGUCGGAUUAGCUAGUUGGCGGGGUAAAGGCCCACCAAGGCGACGAUCCGUAGCUGGUCUGAGAGGAUGAUCAGCCACACUGGAACUGAGACACGGUCCAGACUCCUACGGGAGGCAGCAGUGGGGAAUAUUGGACAAUGGGCGCAAGCCUGAUCCAGCCAUACCGCGUGGGUGAAGAAGGCCUUCGGGUUGUAAAGCCCUUUUGUUGGGAAAGAAAAGCAGCAGGUUAAUACCCCGCUGUUCUGACGGUACCCAAAGAAUAAGCACCGGCUAACUUCGUG
rnacentral:rRNA from 1 species